UGCAAAGAAUCCAGGAGACUUCUGGAGUCCGUUGGUGAUAGCUUUCUCUUCAGGAAACAAAGAAGAGAGAGUUUACUUCAAUACAGCUUAAAAGCAGUUCAUGCUCAGCUUAUCUGAUUUGAUCAACAGUGAUUUAGAGCCAGACUUGCACUGUUUGAGGUUAACAGAUUUUUUUUAAUCGGUGUGUCCUCAAAGUUGAAAGAGUUGAAAUCUUUAGCC
rnacentral:lncRNA from 1 species